ensembl:snoRNA
GUGCACAUGUCAUUGACCUGCUUUCUUCUGUAUAUGUGAGCAGUGUUAUUUCUUAUGUGCUAUACAAAUAAUUGAAGGCUAAUUAGCAGUAUAACUAUAAAAAGUAAUGCUGCCAGUUCUCCUUCAGACAAAA